AACUUCAAUAUAGAAACAUCCAAUCAAAGCCACGACAAUCAUAGAUGUUCAAACAUGCGAUCAAAAUAUAUUAUCAAUCAUCACGAAACACGCAAAUCACAACAUCAAUAUAUCAAAUUGAGUAAAAUGAAAAGAAGGAGUUGAAAAAUUGGACCUUAGAAGAAGCUUUCGAAAUCAAUGUAUUAUUCCAAUUAAAUUCGGGUUCUCCGCAUCCGAAACCUUUGAUUCGAACCUCAACAAACGAACAACACCAAUCUCGAUUUAUCCUUUGUGCUCUGUUUUUCACCAAUUCGGUCCC
rnacentral:lncRNA from 1 species